CUGAAAGAGCUAGUAGAAAAUGUGUUUCCUGAAAAUGUAGUAAGUGAAAAAAAAUGGCUAACCCCCCCCCCCCCAUAAAAACUGCAAAACAAGCACAGCUAUCCUGCAACUUCCUGUUUAGAGAUUCAGCUUCAAUAUUGAGUCAAGUUUUCCUAAUGUACCGAGAGUAUCAUACUAAAUUUGACGUCUCUGAAAUUUCAGAUCUGGGGGGAGUCUUCCUGGUUGACACCUGCACUCAAGACUAGCCUUUACAGAUGAGACUGUUAGCAACAUGUCUAUGUAUCUUGAAUAGAGAAAACUGUCUUUGGUGAUACUGAGAGAUUUGGGAACCACUUGAACCUGAAACUUUUGUCCAAGUUUUGGAGACAAAAGACUCUUCUGGGUAUGUCUCAAACACUAUUGACUAGCAUAAGGUAAACAGUGUUUUUUAAAUUUUGCGACAGUGUUUUUGUGCUUGGUUGUUGGAAAUGGAUUUCCUACUUCCAAUGCUGUGCUUCUUGUUUUUUCUUAUUUCAUCCCAGACAUAGGAAAAUUCUUUGUACCGAGACAAGCCCUGCUGAGAAUGAAGAUGGUGAAUUUUGGUAAUCGAG